UGGUUGUUCUUAGUUGGUGGAGAAUUUUUCCUCGUUAAUUAUGUUAACAAAUGAGACCUCAUCCUGCUAACUAGUUAUGUGGAGAUUCCCCUUUGUGACCGACUUCUUAGAUGAGAUAUGGUCAUUUAAGCCAUGGAAGUUUGAGGAAAUAAUGGGUAUGUGA
rnacentral:ncRNA from 1 species